UUGUGUUUUUCUCAUGUUCAGCACUAGUAGCUAUACUUUUGGGUGAAACUUGAUUUUAAAUGUAAUGUUUUAAUGGGGAGUUGCAGAACGUACAGAUAGAUAGAGAACAGGGCGAGGUGACAUAAAUGUAGAAACGUGGCGUUUGCCGAUAAGGUUUUGUACGGUAGCCAAGUGAAGAAAUGUAGUUAGUAGAAAUGGCAGAGUGGUGAACUGGUAACUUUUUAAUAAAAGGAAUACGUUUGCCGUCAUGAAAUGCAUAUGGGUGGCCGUCAGUGAGUUUUGCUAAAGCAAAUAUAAGCGUAAGAAAACGUUAGUGUAAAAGAGGAAAUUAUCUGCCUGAGUGCGAGGCGGGAUUCAAUCCUUCAACCGGAGGUUCACCAGACUGUCACUUUGUUAGUGCAGCACCAUGACAUAGCUAUGCAAUGCGUCAAAUAUCAUUAGCAAACCUGUCCGUGGUAUUAAAGAACAACACAGGCCGGCCGGUAAGCGCACAAGAGCUCCCGUUCAAUCCACAUGCCUUUGCAAUAUUGUAGCCGGUUAAUAAGUCAACGCAAUAAACAUAUCGUCUGCACGUCUCGCGUUCGCUGGGAAGUAUGGCAAACACCUCAUAGAUACACAAUAAACACGGAUCUAGACUAUGUCUAUUAUAGAUCUAUUUCAAAUUACAACGACCCUACCUUAUCUACCGUACCUGAGCAAGAUGGCUGGGGGGGGACUACCCCAGCUUGUUCUGAGCGAGGGGCAGGAAUACACUCAAAGUGUAUUCCUGCCUCUAACUCACAACCGUGGCCGAUUUAGUAUCUCCGAUUAACCUGUAUGCAUGUCUUUGGGAUUGGGGAAACCUAGGUGGACACGGGGAGAACAUGCAAACUCCGCACAGAGCCGAGAUUCGAUAUCACGACCUUCGUACUGUGAGGCGACAGCGCUACCCACUGAGCCACCGUGCCACCGAUUAUAAUGCUUGCUUGGUAAACUAUCAAGGAUGAUCAAGGAUGACGUGCCCUUAGCCUCAUAGCUCCAGGCUAGCUCCCGUAAUUAGUACUGCUCGGUUCUUCCCGGUUUAGCAAUGGCGACCUUCUACACCCGCUGUCAAUAGGAGCUCCCAAAGAUAAACAUCACUCGCGUUCAUAGGAUUUUCACAACGACUAAACACUCAACCGGCAAAUUGGAGAAAGGCUAUUCAUUACAUGCCAUGUGUAUUUUUGCAACUACCAAGCAAUCCGCCAGGCCGUCUCCAGAUCUCUUGUGGCACGCUACCAGAAAUGUUUACACAAGAGGCAUGGAAUGUUGUCUGAUACCUCCCUGGUUUGACAGUCAGGAGGUGGGCUUCCCUGGUUACAGAGUCAGGAGAUGGGACUGGAAAUAAUUGAGGAUAUAGAAAAAUAGCAACGUUUUAAAAGAGUCCUGUAGCUUUAAGAAACGGAGGCUCCCUACCUAAUGUGUUAGGAGGACUUGUUUUGCAUCCCUAAUUAGUUUUAUUG